UACCAGCACCCCGAGUGGUCGGGGCGUUUAUUGGGCCUAAAGCGUCCGUAGCCGGUUCUACAAGUCUUCCGUUAAAUCCACCUGCUUAACAGAUGGGCUGCGGAAGAUACUAUAGAGCUAGGAGGCGGGAGAGGCAAGCGGUACUCGAUGGGUAGGGGUAAAAUCCGUUGAUCCAUUGAAGACCACCAGUGGCGAAGGCGGCGCACUGGCCCGGUACUGACGCUGAGGUGCGAAAGCGUGGGGAGCAAACAGG
rnacentral:rRNA from 1 species